UUUCCUCUUUCUUCUACAGUUGUGUACUCCAUCUUUAUCAAAUCAAGAACGAUCGAGAGAUAGAGAGAGAGAGAUAAAGAAAUUGGGUGCGUUUCUUUGCUUUGCACGAAGAGAUAGAGAGGGAGAUCGGGGGAAAAUCCCUAAAGCACAGAGUCAUCGCCGAGUCAAUCAAAUUGAAUCCGAUAAUUUCAGGCUAGGGUUCCAAAGUUUGAACCUUUAAUCUGAUUUUGGGAACAGUGUGCUGUCGGACAGUUUAAUUGUUUGCAAUUCAGCAUCAAUCUGGAUUUAUUGCAGAAGAGGUGGGUGUAGAGAGAGAGAGAGAGAGAGAGGUAUCUGCGUCUGCAAUAGUUGCAGAAAGUGGAAGGAGGUUUUCUAAGUUUGGGAUUUUAGUGAUUGAUUGGGAGAGGUUGAAGGUAAUAUCGAUCUUACUCGAACAAGUGUGUCGGUCAAGCUGUUGGGUGCGAAGGUAGUUGAUAGAAGCUCAAUUCAAGUUUUUAUGACAGUCAUCAAAUGUACUACCCAGUUGUCAGUAUUGUGGACUGGAGUAUCUGCCUGUUUUUGCUUCCUUGAUUGGAUCUUGCUGUAUCUAGCGUGAAGCUGAUCAGGUAAUUCAAACUUAGGAACUGUCCAUGGGGUAAAGCUUUGAAGUUCGAACUCGAUAUAAUCUUAGGAAAAAACUCGAUAUAAAGUGUUGAAACACUUAGAAAAUCCUGUACUGGCUUACAAUUUCUAUUACAUCAUUUGAUGCUGCAAUAAACUAGAAUAGAAUUCUCAACAUGAAAAUUUUUGGAUCACUUUAUUUUACAUAUUCCUUGCUUCAUUUAAAGAUCUUAUUCAUUUUUGUUAAUCAAACCAUACUCACUUACAAAAUCUGCAACUAAGUAAUCAUCGCGUAACAAUUCUGCCCCGCAGCAACGCGCGGGAAACAUUUCUAGUUUUACAUAUACUAAAGCUCCUACACUGUUCAACUAACAGUGAUUUGGCUCCAAGUGAUUUGACUCUUUUGUCCUCGCUUCAGAUUUUUUUUCCGGCUCUACCUUAUCUGGAUAUAUCCUAUCUUCGCGUCGUUUCUUUCUUCUACAAUCUUCUGACCAUCUUUAUCAAUUGUUGAG